CUGUCGUCCUCCUGUGCCGUUCAAAGCAACCCAAGAAAAGUGGCAGGAGAUAAGGAUCAGAUGAGGAUCUGGUCCUGAACAAAACAGCCUGAAGCUCCUCAAACAGCCUGAAGCUCCCUGGGGGAAACUUGGGCCAAUCACUCUCUAACUACCCUACCUUAUAAGGUGGAUGUGAGGCUAAAAGUUACAUCUGGGGAAUAGCUACAGCGAGGGGAAAAAAGGUAAGUGGCUGUUGCUGCUGCUGCUGCUCCUCCUCCUCCUCCUCCGUCAUAAACUUCCAUACAGCCUUGGGUUUAUUCCAUUUUGGAUAAGUAAAGAACCAAAAUUUCAUUGAUGCCAAAAGACUUUUAAAUUGCAUCCCCCAGCUUGACUGAGCACACACUCUCUUAAAUUUCCAUAGAGUGAAUUGGGCGGGACACCAUUGAUUUUAAAUUCCCUGUUUGGGCAGGUUUAAGCCAGUGGACUGGAGUCCCAUGGGCUUGGAAUCUCCAAUGGCUCAACUGGGCAAGACAAUUGGUGUCUUUAAAUUCUGUAAGGGCCCUGUGGACAUAUUUUUCAGCCAGGGAUGUAGUGUUUACAUUUGGAUCGACUGACCACCACCUCCAGCCCACUUGUAGUCAUGCUGUUGAUAAGGUUUGAAUCAAAUGGAACACGUUGCGUCCUUUAUAUGUGCUGCGUCCCAAGUGUUGAGUGACCCAUGAAGAGAUGACUGCACUCAUGGCGAUCUCGGAUCCUUAUUCCUUACUCAAGGAAAGCAUUGAUUUGCAAUGUAGGUCUCAAGGUUUUGAUGGGGUGUGGGUUUAUUUUCUCCUUUUCACAGUUAAAGCACCACACUUUCUUUGAUACCAGGAUAUGUUGAACAGUAGGGCGUACAACUUGGGGUGCCUCUGUUAUGGCACAAGAGAUAUUCACAGACUGGAUUGGGCAGGUUUCGGACCACAAUGUGGAUCUGGACUUCUAAAUUUAUAUUCUGAUUGGGCAAGACCUCUAGGGUUUUUAAAUUCUAUGUUGAUCGAAUUGGGCAAGACCUCUAGGGUUUUUAAAUUCUAUGUGGAAUUGGGCAAGAUCAGGGCCUGUGUGGGCCUCGAUUUUUAAAUUGCAGCCCCCAGCUAGACUUGUAAAUUGGUAUUCUGAUUGGGCAAGACCUCUAGGGUUUUUAAAUUGUAUAUGGAAUUGGGCAAGAUCAGGGCCUGUGUGGGCCUCCAUUUUUAAAUUGCAUCCCCCAGCUUGACCGAGCACACACUCUCUUAAAUUUCCUUAGAUUGAAUUGGGCGGGACACCAUUGUUUUUAAAUUCCCUGUUUGGGCAGGUUUAAGCCAUUGGAAUGGAGUCCCAUGGGCUUGGAAUUUCCAAUGGCUCAACUGGGCAAGACAAUUGGUGUCUUUAAAUUCUGUAAGGGCCCUGUGGACAUAUUUUUCAGCCAGGAAUGUAGUGUUUACAUUUGGACAUAUUGGUCGUAUUACUGACCACCACCCCCGGCCCAAUUUUAGUCAUGCUGUUGAUAAGGUUUGAAUCAAAUGGAACACGUUGCGUCCUUUAUAUGUGCUGCAUCCCAAGUGUUGAGUGACCCAUGAAGAGAUGACUGCUUUUUUAAUGCACUCAUGGCCAUUCGGAUCCUUAUUCCUUACGCAAGGAGAUCAUUGAUUUUGAAUGUUGGGCUCAAGGUUUUGAUGUUUUUCUGUCUAUUGAUAAAAUGGAAGGAAUCAUUUCACAAUCCACAUGCAAAUGUUUAAAUUGGUUGUGUCAUGCAAGGGUUUUGAGAACUGAGUUGACUGAAGGAAUAAUGUGAUGGUCUUGUCAACAAGAGAAGUGCUUGCAACCUAGGUGCAAUUCAUGCUAUUUGCAAAAAACAAACCAACCAAAACACCCACAUUGACAUCUGUUGGUAAGGUUGUGUCUGUUUUGAAGAUGAUGUUUAGCAUUUUAGCAUUCAAGACUCUUCAGACAUUGAUUGUGAGAACGCCCAGCCUGAGAAAUUGACACCAGAGUGAACGGAGGUUAAUGCAGCUGCUUAAGGAGAGGAAGGCAGAUCAUCAAAGAUGGCGGGAGUCCAGUGGUGAGGACGGGAGGUUGGGAGAAGCUAUGAAGGAGUCUAGAAGAGACUCUACGGUGGGAGCACACACUUUGGGAGGAGCAGGAUCAGCCCCUUGAUUAUUUUGGUUUCCCUCUGCUACACCUUCUUCAGUUCGACAGUAAUCCUUUUUUUGUAAUCUGGUGACCGGAAUGAUACGCAGUACAUCUGAGGAACAGCUACAACUGGAAACAAGGUCAGCUUCAUGUUGUUGUUGUUGUUGUUGUUGUUGUUGUUGCUGUUAUACCCCAGUAAGCUUCCAUACCACCUUGGGUUUAUAUUCUCUUUUUGACAGUUAGAGCACCACAUUUUCAUUGAUAACAGGAGAUGUUGAACACUAGGGCGUACAUCUUUGGGUGCCUCUGUUAUGGCACAAGAGAUAUUCCCAGAUUGGAUUGGGCAGGUUUCGGACCACAAUGUGGAUCUGGACUUCUAAAUUUAUAUUCUGAUUGGGCAAGACCUCUAGGGUUUUUAAAUUCUAUGUUGAUCGAAUUGGGCAAGACCUCUAGGGUUUUUAAAUUGUAUGUGGAAUUGGGCAAGAUCAGGGCCUGUGUGGGCCUCGAUUUUUAAAUUGCAGCCCCCAGCUAGACUUGUAAAUUGGUAUUCUGAUUGGGCAAGACCUCUAGGGUUUUUAAAUUGUAUAUGGAAUUGGGCAAGAUCAGGGCCUGUGUGGGCCUCGAUUUUUAAAUUGCAUCCCCCAGCUUGAUUGAGCACACACUCUCUUAAAUUUCCAUAGAGUGAAUUGGGCGGGACACCAUUGUUUUUAAAUUCCCUGUUUGGGCAGGUUUAAGCCAGUGGACUGGAGUCCCAUGGGCUUGGAAUCUCCAAUGGCUCAACUGGGCAAGACAAUUGGUGUCUUUAAAUUCUGUAAGGGCCCUGUGGACAUAUUUUUCAGCCAGGGAUGUAGUGUUUACAUUUGGACAUAUUGGUCGUAUUACUGACCACCACCCCCGGCCCAAUUUUAGUCAUGCUGUUGAUAAGGUUUGAAUCAAAUGGAACACGUUGCAUCCUUUAUAUGUGCUGCAUCCCAAGUGUUGAGUGACCCAUGAAGAGAUGACUGCUUUUUUAAUGCACUCAUGGCCAUUCGGAUCCUUAUUCCUUACGCAAGGAGAUCAUUGAUUUUGAAUGUUGGGCUCAAGGUUUUGAUGUUUUUCUGUCUAUUGAUAAAAUGGAAGGAAUCAUUUCACAAUCCACAUGCAAAUGUUUAAAUUGGUUGUGUCAUGCAAGGGUUUUGAGAACUGAGUUGACUGAAGGAAUAAUGUGAUGGUCUUGUCAACAAGAGAAGUGCCUGCAACCUAGGUGCAAUUCAUGCUAUUUGCAAAAAACAAACCAACCAAAACACCCACAUUGACAUCUGUUGGUAAGGUUGUGUCUGUUUUGAAGAUGAUGUUUAGCAUUUUAGCAUUCAAGACUCUUCAGACAUUGAUUGUGAGAACGCCCAGCCUGAGAAAUUGACACCAGAGUGAACGGAGGUUAAUGCAGCUGCUUAAGGAGAGGAAGGCAGAUCAUCAAAGAUGGCGGGAGUCCAGUGGUGAGGACGGGAGGUUGGGAGAAGCUAUGAAGGAGUCUAGAAGAGACUCUACGGUGGGAGCACACACUUUGGGAGGAGCAGGAUCAGCCCCUUGAUUAUUUUGGUUUCCCUCUGCUACACCUUCUUCAGUUCGACAGUAAUCCUUUUUUUGUAAUCUGGUGACCGGAAUGAUACGCAGUACAUCUGAGGAACAGCUACAACUGGAAACAAGGUCAGCUUCAUGUUGUUGUUGUUGUUGUUGUUGUUGUUGUUGUUGUUGCUGUUAUACCCCAGUAAGCUUCCAUACCACCUUGGGUUUAUAUUCUCUUUUUGACAGUUAGAGCACCACAUUUUCAUUGAUAACAGGAGAUGUUGAACACUAGGGCGUACAUCUUUGGGUGCCUCUGUUAUGGCACAAGAGAUAUUCCCAGAUUGGAUUGGGCAGGUUUCGGACCACAAUGUGGAUCUGGACUUCUAAAUUUAUAUUCUGAUUGGGCAAGACCUCUAGGGUUUUUAAAUUCUAUGUUGAUCGAAUUGGGCAAGACCUCUAGGGUUUUUAAAUUGUAUGUGGAAUUGGGCAAGAUCAGGGCCUGUGUGGGCCUCGAUUUUUAAAUUGCAGCCCCCAGCUAGACUUGUAAAUUGGUAUUCUGAUUGGGCAAGACCUCUAGGGUUUUUAAAUUGUAUAUGGAAUUGGGCAAGAUCAGGGCCUGUGUGGGCCUCCAUUUUUAAAUUGCAUCCCCCAGCUUGACCGAGCACACACUCUCUUAAAUUUCCUUAGAUUGAAUUGGGCGGGACACCAUUGUUUUUAAAUUCCCUGUUUGGGCAGGUUUAAGCCAUUGGAAUGGAGUCCCAUGGGCUUGGAAUCUCCAAUGGCUCAACUGGGCAAGACAAUUGGUGUCUUUAAAUUCUGUAAGGGCCCUGUGGACAUAUUUUUCAGCCAGGAAUGUAGUGUUUACAUUUGGACAUAUUGGUCGUAUUACUGACCACCACCCCCGGCCCAAUUUUAGUCAUGCUGUUGAUAAGGUUUGAAUCAAAUGGAACAUGUUGCGUCCUUUAUAUGUGCUGCAUCCCAAGUGUUGAGUGACCCAUGAAGAGAUGACUGCUUUUUUAAUGCACUCAUGGCCAUUCGGAUCCUUAUUCCUUACGCAAGGAGAUCAUUGAUUUUGAAUGUUGGGCUCAAGGUUUUGAUGUUUUUCUGUCUAUUGAUAAAAUGGAAGGAAUCAUUUCACAAUCCACAUGCAAAUGUUUAAAUUGGUUGUGUCAUGCAAGGGUUUUGAGAACUGAGUUGACUGAAGGAAUAAUGUGAUGGUCUUGUCAACAAGAGAAGUGCCUGCAACCUAGGUGCAAUUCAUGCUAUUUGCAAAAAACAAACCAACCAAAACACCCACAUUGACAUCUGUUGGUAAGGUUGUGUCUGUUUUGAAGAUGAUGUUUAGCAUUUUAGCAUUCAAGACUCUUCAGACAUUGAUUGUGAGAACGCCCAGCCUGAGAAAUUGACACCAGAGUGAACGGAGGUUAAUGCAGCUGCUUAAGGAGAGGAAGGCAGAUCAUCAAAGAUGGCGGGAGUCCAGUGGUGAGGACGGGAGGUUGGGAGAAGCUAUGAAGGAGUCUAGAAGAGACUCUACGGUGGGAGCACACACUUUGGGAGGAGCAGGAUCAGCCCCUUGAUUAUUUUGGUUUCCCUCUGCUACACCUUCUUCAGUUCGACAGUAAUCCUUUUUUUGUAAUCUGGUGACCGGAAUGAUACGCAGUAAGUAUUCCAAAUGUGGCUACCCCAUAGACCAGGGCAGCACAACUCCGAACCUCCUGCAGAUGUUUGACUAUGAUUCCCAAUAUCCCUGACUAUGGGUAAUGGGACUGGGGAUGGUUGGAGUUGUAGUCCAAAACCAGAGGGAGGACUGGGGUUGUGCAGCCCUGCCGUAGACUGAUGUCUAUAUACGGCUUAUCGUUGUAAGGAGCAGUGUGAAUGCUGUGCUCCAUUUUUUGAUGAUUUUUCUAUCUGUUGAUAAAAUGGAAAUAAUCAUUUCACAUGCAAAUGUUUAAAUCGGUUGUGUAAUGCAAAGGUUUUGAGAACUGUCUUGACUAAAAAAAAAGUUUGAUUGUCUUGUCAACUGGAAAGGUUCCUGCAGCCUAGGCACAAAUCAUGCUAUCUUGUACAGACACAAAAAGACUUCUGUUGGAAGGCUCUAUCUCUUUUGAACAUGGUGUUUAGCUUUUUAGCAUUCAAGACUCUUCAGACAUUGAUUGUGAGAACGCCCAACCUGAGAAAUUGACACCAGAGUGAACGGAGGUUAAUGCAACUGCUUAAGGAGAGGAAGGCAGAUCAUCAAAGAUGGCGGGAGUCCAGUGGUGAGGACGGGGUGAGUAACUGCACCUGACUGGUUGGAUGAAGCCCCAUCUGUACUGGGCUUCUUCCAUAACAAAUGCCAAUUCAUUAAAAAAAAAAAUCGGUACUGACAUUUCUCAGUGACUCUCUUACAUUGCUUGGGAGAAGCUAAGAAGAAGGAUAGAAAAGACGUUACAUUCAUCACAUGCACUUUGGUAAGGGCAGCAUCAGCCCCUUGAUCAUUUCAGUUUCCUUCUGCUUCACCAAUUGCAGCUCAACAGUAUUCCGUUUUUUGCAGUCCAGUGACCAGAACGAUAUGCAGUAAGUAUUCCAACUGUGGCUAUCCCAUAGUCCAGAGUGGCACAACUCCGGUCCUCCUGCAGAUGUUUGACUAUGAUUCCCAUGAUCCUUGACUACUGGCCACUGUGGAAGUCAUCCUAACUUCAAUUGACUUGGAUAUAUGUGGUUUUGCUUUAACUUGAAUUAUUUUCCCCAGCUAUUGCUCAUGCCUAGUUGACAGCUUCGCCAGAGGUUUCCAGAUACCUAUCCUUUUUCAAUGCGGCUUGCUUGUUCAAAUCGCUAUGAAUUGCUUCUCUUUAGGAUGCUGAUGGUGAUGCCUCUCCCCAAAUAAAACCAGACAGAUAAGACAUGCAUUCACCUCACAGCAGGUGGGGGAAAGAUAGGUCUCUACCUUCAUGUUGUCUUACUUUUAUUGUUGCAGACUUCAGCAGCAUGGUCAGAAUUUUAGAUCUGGAAAACAGUGUUGGAGAAAAGGAUGGCGCACUCCAUCCAGCAGAGCUCUUUUUACUUCAUAGAUAUUAUCAUUGUUGUUGUUACAUGCUUGAGGAGUGAGACAUGCAUGCCAUAUCUCUGUUUCUCUGUCCUGAGCCUAUCAAUCAAUUCUGUUCAGUGAUUCUUUUCUAUUUAGCGGAUUGGGGGGAGCAACUGUCCCCCUCCCGGGGUUGUUGCUGGGGUCUACCUUCUUCCUUUUUAGAUUGCGAGCCCUUUGGGAGCCGUCUUUAAUAUUUUAUCUAUGUAAACUGCAUGGAGAACUGUGUUGAAGAUUUGUACUAAUAGUAAGUAUGGCGGUGGAUGACAACAAAUAUCAGGUCGGAUUAGGAAUCCCAGAUGCCGGUCCGGGCCCUUUUGGACCCUUCAAAAGGUAGGGGUGAAAAAAACUGCUAAUUUUUUUAAUCAGCAAGAAUCCCCAUAGAAAUCUAUUAGGAAACGAAAAAAUAGAUAGAGGGUGGGUGUGUUGGGAUAGCUACCUAGGGAACUCUGAAAAUUGGCCGACAAUUAGGUAAGGAUGACCAGAAUCUGUAUAUUUAAUUAAAAUUGAAUUGGACCUUCCCUUUUAAAAAAAUUAUUAUUUUUUUAAGUAACCUGGAAAUUGUACUCUCAGAGUGAAUGCAGAAGAAAGGUGAUGUAAUCUCAGAGAAUCUCAGGGGAAGUUAUGUGAAACUGAGGUAAUAUUCUGCCCUCUUUUUCAAAUGGUAAGUGAAAUAAAAGACAAAAAAUAAGAAAUAUCUUACAUAAAAGAUACAUGGGUGCGCAGGCGGGUGGGCAAAUGGUAACAGACUCCCCACCCACCGCCCAGCCCCAAUCAGUGACAAAAUGUGCCCCACCACCACCAUCUGGAGCUCUAAAAUGGGUCAGAAAUGCCCAGAUGGCAUUAGGGAACUCUGACUCAAUGUAGGCUUCCCAACGUCGGGAUUGGCUUAUCCUCAACACCCUCCAACAUGGUCCAUAUCAGGCCACGUCCAACGCAAUUGAUGCAAACGUGAACAGCCAUAUAUUAAGGACCUUCUUUAUUUCUGUUCCGAUUCUGCCCCCAAACUGAGCUGAACAGACCCAAGCCCAGAGAAGGAAGGACCUUGCAAAGGGAUUUGGAAGACAGCAUUUUGAGACAGAAAUACCCAAAUAUCUUUGGGAGCUCAAUGCAAUUCCAAAGCUCUUGCUAAAAGCCAUGGUAUAAGUUGCAUGGAGAAGCUUUUCCAAAAGCUGGUUAAGAGAGUUCUGAAAUUACACAGGUUUUUCUUUCCAAAGGUUUAGAAAGAAUCCCUUGACUUGUUCAGGGGUCUUUUGAAGAGCUAUUUUGUUUUUCUUCUGAUGUUUAUGAGUUAUAGUGGUAUCUAAGUUUUGUUGCCCAAGUUGAGCAGUCUAAUGUAAUUUAGGCCACAAUGUAAUUUGGUGGGACAUGACGUCUAAGCCAGUGGUUCACAACUUUUGCCAUUGCAGGGACAGGUCAUCCACAUGGGACUACAUGAGACAAAAGGAGUGGGGGGGGGGAUACCCCUGUCAAUCUAUUGACAUCCCCAGGAAUCUUAGUUGCUUCUCUCUUUCUUGUAAUCAUGAUCCAUGGUUUUGCACUUUCUUAAAUGCAGUGACGAUAAAUCUCAACAAUUCUGAAUACUAGGCUGAUUUGCUUGGGCUACUGCUCACUCCACUUCAGUUAAAUGAACAUUUGAAGCUGUUCCAUAGUACCAAGGCAGGUCAUUGGUUAUCUUGCUAUCUCAAGUGACCUGUGGUCACUGUUCCAUGGGGCGGGAGCGUUUUUAUUGAAAGAUUGCUUGAAUCCACAAAUGGGUUGUGCUGCUGUGUUAGUGCCACAGGGACAGGCUCCCACACGCUGCAAAAUUCCCAAAUAACUAUGCCAAAAAAUUGUGUUGUUGUUGUUCAUCAUUCUCUUCACUCUUUCAACUUGUUUAUGUGGGGCUUCAGGGGCAAAACACUAGGUUGGGUGGCAGUGCCCCACGGAGUGUUGCACCCAGAUUCCAAAUAGGGCAAAGGGCUGAGUCCCUAGGAAUUUUGAGGUUUACGCGUCUUUAAGAUUUUCCCCCAAAGGGAAUAAAGGAGGUUUAAACAGCCCCAUAACUCCACCUGGGGGGGGCACU